rnacentral:misc_RNA from 1 species
AAAAAAGUAAUUCGACGGCGAGCAUCCAAAUUUGUAGGAACAUUAAUUGCAGACUCUUUCACAGUCAAUAACAAAUUAAGCCGGAUAACCUUUUCCUUCCAAGACCUGUUCUGAGUAAGAUAGAUAUUUAUCCUUUCAAAUCUUUGCUCCUUUCUAUCAAUCUGGUGAGCUCUCUCCAAAAUUUCAUGGCCAUCAAACAUAACAUCUUGAAUGAUAAUUUCCAUGAUAUCUUGGAUAAGGUUAAUCAUAGGUGAUCUUUUCGCCUCUUCCUCUUCAUAAUCUGCCACCAGAAGAUUCAAGAAUCUCUCCAAUUUAUCAUUCAGUAAGGGCAACCCACUCAUCCGAAAUUUCCUUAAGAACCUUUUUUCUUUUAUGCUUUCAUCUAUUUCUUUGCGUAUCUGCUCCACAACCAUCUUGUCAUCUUUGUCUUCCAGAAUUCCAACCAGCAAAUAUCUA